AUCAACUUUCGAUGGUAGGAUAGAGGCCUACCAUGGUGGUAACGGGUAACGGGGUGUUAGGGCACGACACCGGAGAGGGAGCCUGAGAAACGGCUACCACAUCCAAGGGUGGCAGCAGGCGCGCAAAUUACCCAAUCCCGACACGGGGAGGUAGUGACAAUAAAUAACAAUACGGGGUUCUUUAGGAUCUCGUAAUUGGAAUGAGUACAAUUUAAAUCUCUUAACGAGGAACAAUUGGAGGGCAAGUCUGGUGCCAGCAGCCGCGGUAAUUCCAGCUCCAAUAGCGUAUAUUAAAGUUGUUGCAGUUAAAAAGCUCGUAGUUGAAUUUCGGGGUUAGUAGGUUGGUCAUGCCUCUGGUAUGUACUGGUCUCACUGAUUCCUCCUUCCUGAUGAACCUUAAUGCCAUUUAUUUGGUGUUUUGGGGAAUUUGGACUGUUACUUUGAGAAAAUUAGAGUGUUUAAAGCAAGCUAACGCUUGAAUACAUUAGCAUGGAAUAAUGAAAUAGGACGUUCGAUCCUAUUUUGUUGGUUUCUAGGAUUGACGUAAUGAUUAAUAGGGAUAGUUGGGGGCAUUAGUAUUCAAUUGUCAGAGGUGAAAUUCUUGGAUUUAUUGAAGACUAACUACUGCGAAAGCAUUUGCCAAGGAUGUUUUCAUUAAUCAAGAACGAAAGUUAGGGGAUCGAAGACGAUCAGAUACCGUCGUAGUCUUAACCAUAAACUAUGCCGACUAGGGAUCGGAUGAUGUUAAUUUUUUAAUGACUCAUUCGGCGCCUUACGGGAAACCAAAGUGUUUGGGUUC
rnacentral:rRNA from 1 species